UUGGCUAAGAUCAAGUGUAGUAUCUGUUCUUAUCAGUUUAAUAUCUGAUACGUGGGUCAUCGAUCCACUAUGAUAUUAAAUUAAUUUAUUGUGGGGGAGGGUCCGCUACAAUGGCUUGCCAUUGGGUCCCUCGCGCGUCGCCUGUGCGUUGCACUACUGCACGGGCCUGGCGCACCCCGACCAAUCCGAAGUCUAAGCAUUAUUAAGGCCCGAUUAACUGACAAUAUUCAGUGACCUGGCGCACCCCGACCAAUUCUAAAGUCUAAUCACCAUUGGGGCCCUCGUGCGUCGCCUGUGUGUUGCACAACCGCAUGGUCAUGUCGCACCCCGACCAAUCCUAAAGUCUAAGCAUUUAUGAAGGGUCGAUUAAGUGACCAUAUUCAAGUGAUGUAUAGAUUUGAUCACCGCUUUUGUGCGAUUUGUUGGUAAAGUCGUGGCACGCAGAAGGCUUGCAAGGAAGAUUAGAUGUAGGAUGGGGAAUAUGCUUUGGAUUGUUGCUGUUCCGUCCGGUAUUGCGUUUGAUGUUUGCUCCGAUGUUCGAUACCGAUUGCUUCAGCGCUCCGUUGCGCAUCCUGCGCCAGGAGAAGAGCAUGAGCGAUGUCUGGAAUGUGUGUCACAGCUUAAAGAAUCCUAAAAUUUCAUGGGUUUGACAUGUUGUUGACAGAUAAUAAGUCCGCCGACGAGGCUGAAGGGGAGAUUUCCGAGCUGGGGGAUGAAGCCGGGUCUGGUCUCGUAUGAUUGCACGGAAGAUGGAAGAUGUCUACUGUAAGAGUCGCGGGAGGGAGAGGGCUUAUGAGGUGGUCGAUAAAAUGCGGGCGGACCCUGUGUAUCACAGCUUGAAGCAUGAUCUUAACCUUAAUCUUUAGAUGUUUGACAUACUGUUGUCGGAUUGACAGUACGCCGUUGCCUAGGGUUUCUUCCAGGAGAUGUUGGAGCUUGGGGGUGAAUCUGGAUCUGGCCUCGUACGAUUGAACGGAGGAUGUCUACUGCAAGAGUCGCGGGACGGAGAAGGCACACGAGUUAGUCGAUAAAAUGCGUGAAUAAGAUUUAUGCCCGGAUGUAAUCACACAGACUGACCGAUAAAGCUAGAGAUGUUCUGAAGGAGAAGAGAGAGAGAGAGAGAGAGGAUGCCACCAUGGCGUUGCCGUGCUCUGCAUUGUAAAAGACAUGGCUUUGCUUUGAUUGAUGUGAUGGUGGAGAGGCAAUUGCUUCCAAAUGCCAUGAGCUAUAAUCUGUUCUUCAUGUACUGUUAGGCUAUGAUCAUAGAUGAUGGACGGCUGUUUGUCGAACAUUGUGUUUCAUGUUUCUCAUAAGGUUGUUCCGUCAGCAGGAGAAUGCCAUGCGGCAGAAAGGUUUGGGAUCGUUCAUACUGGUUUUCCAUGUAUUGUUUGAUCUGAUUUGUGAUGCAGGAAUAAUUGAUGAGGCCAAGCAAUGUUACAUUUUAGAAGGAUCAAGAUUCUGAUGGAACCAGCAAAUAAGCAGCAGUCUCUUUGGAACAGUAGAUGAAUCACUCAAAGAAGUAACAUCAUCCUUAUUGCUGCACCCUUGUUGAUGCAACUCUUGAUGAUGAAUCAAUUGAGGAAUGACUUGCAAGGAGCAAAAAGGCCUUCAUCAUGAAUCUUUGGUGUCAAGAGUCAACCUUCGAACGUAGCCCACCAUUUCGGACACGAGUUGGCGAAGCAAGCGUGGCUAAAAAGCUUGGAGCCGAGCCGAUUGACUUGUGAGUGGCCGGCUUGGUGGUUCGCAGAACACGAGCCCUCCCCACCAACCCACCACGUGCGCAACAGCUGCCCGCCCACAAAGACUUUGACUCAGCGUUUUCCCUAAAAGUCAAUGGAAUAAACUGCUUUUUCUUCCACUUCAUAAUUCUUGUGCAAGUUAUGCUAAUUCUUAGAAAAUAAAUUUAGUGAUGUUAAUUAAAAUUAAUUAUUGGAUUAAAAAAUUAAGGUAUCAAGACUUCCUUUUGACCACUCUUUAUGAGCCUUCAUUGUCUGAGAUUACCAUUUAAUAACAAAUAAAUAAAACAUGAAAUAUGAUCCGAUUAAGAAGAAUGAUUUAUCUUAGGUAAUUUUGCCUAGAAUAAUAUUACAUGUAGAAAAGUAGGUUGAAUGAUAAAUAGUCUUCUCUUACCUCCCUUGUUAAUUCAGAAAAAUAUUUAAGCAGCUAAUUAACUAGACAAGUAGAAGUGAUUAGUUAUGUGAACUAAUUUAGUGUUAGAUGGGUCAGAGUGACCUAAUUGUGGACAGAAAGUUGUGGUGAUGACAUGUUAGGAAAAACCUAAUGUUCUUAAGAAAGUUUGGUGCCAUGCACAAACACAGACUAUGCUUUCAACACUGUGCCUCCAUUUGUUUGAUUUGGCAUGAAUAAUGCUUUCAUCCCAGGAGAACAAUGAUGAAGCUGGUCCUGGAUGGCAUCUUUCUAUAUCAUUAAUUCAUGCUCUUAAUGAAGGAUUGUUUUGGGUGUCUUUUGGCAGCAA